rnacentral:rRNA from 1 species
GCUAACUCCGUGCCAGCAGCCGCGGUAAUACGGAGGAUCCAAGCGUUAUCCGGAAUCAUUGGGUUUAAAGGGUCCGUAGGUGGAUAAUUAAGUCAGAGGUGAAAUCCUGCAGCUCAACUGUAGAAUUGCCUUUGAUACUGGUUAUCUUGAGUUAUUAUGAAGUAGUUAGAAUAUGUAGUGUAGCGGUGAAAUGCAUAGAUAUUACAUAGAAUACCAAUUGCGAAGGCAGAUUACUAAUAAUCAACUGACACUGAUGGACGAAAGCGUGGGGAGCGAAG